UGCAGUCAUCAGGGUGUGGGAUGUAUCCAACUGAGGAUGUAUCGGGUAUAUGAAAAGGGGGUGUAGGAUGUAUCCAACUGACAGGAUACAUGAUCACACAUCCUGCCAAGACUCCCCCAGGAUGCAAGGAUGGGCCGCCAAUCUGACACCCUCCACACUGAUGCAUAUGCAGGGCGGCCCACUAGAUAUGCAUGGUGCACGUGAUUGAUAGGGGAUUUAAUUAUUGGCUACAUCUAUGAGCUCGCUAAUCCAUCUAACAGGUCUCGCAUUAUUAGACCCAGACAAAUGUUGAUGGUUUAAUGAAAUUUCAUGAUAUGUUCACUGUUUCACAACCACUGUGAUAAAUUAUCUAUCCAGGUCGAUAGGAGCUCUAUCAGGCAUUCAUUACAGAAUGUUU
rnacentral:lncRNA from 1 species